rnacentral:lncRNA from 1 species
CAUCAUCUGCACACAACACACCUUUCACACCUCACAUUACCCCACUCCCCACUUAUCCCUAUACCUAUUUACUACAACUACACAAGACGGAAAAAAAAACAUUCAAAAAAAAAAGCCUACAACCCAAAAGAUAAAAUCAGCAACCAAAAAGAAAAAGCAACACCCAGACACCCACAGAAAAAAUACACAACAAUACACAUUCACACACGAAAAAAAAACCAUCAGCAAAGGAAAAACACUACAAACAAACCUACGGCAAAAAAAAGAGGAGGAGGAAAAAUACAACCAACAUACAUACGCACAACACACAAAAAACCCAUUCUGCGCACACACACAAAACGUACAAAAAAAAAGGAAGAAAAAACGCAACACAGACCCACG